CAAAUCGGUAGACGCUACGGACUAAAAUCCGUCGACUUUAAAAAUCGUGAGGGUUCAAGUCCCUCUAUCCCCA
rnacentral:tRNA from 1 species